UCCAAGGGGAAUUAACUCAUCCGGAAUUUUAACUGGGAACCGGCCACCUCAUUACCGUAAUACAGGCCAGGUUAAACAUUACUGCAACGCAACCUAGGCAAAAAUCGGUAACCAAUCCUCAAUAUUCUUUCCGGAUCGACCAGGUGUAGACGUGUCUUUUACAGCUCUGAAUUGAAAAUUGUUUUUCGAUUUAUUUCACUUGGUUGAUUGGGGUUUUUCAUAGAUAAAUUGUGUUAUUUAUCUUUGUACUUCUUAUUCGGAAUAUUUUAUGUGGAUUUUAUGGACUUUUGUUUCAGUUGUAAAGGUAAGCCAUGCUUGCUUUUGUUGAACAAUCGUUUAUUUCUACCAUGCUGGGUGUUUUAGGCGCGAAAGAGCACGUGCAAAACGUUUUUUUCUAAUGCGUGAAACUUGUUUUCAGCUUUGCUGCGUUUUAGGUACAUUCUCAUGUACAUGAGCACGUGUAUAUCGUGAUCUUCGUCAAUACGCAGUUGAGGAAAAUUGUACAGUGUAAAUAUUCUUCUAAUGCGUUACGAGAUCGUGCAAAGCGUGCUCUUCUAAUUCUUUGACAGAUUGUUUAUCAUUUGCCAUUGUGUGCAAAAAUGAUUUUACAUUUCAUAUGACAAUAUUAAUUGAUGAUCAUUAUAUUUUCAUCUGUUUUGAAUUAAACUUUUGUUUAAUUUAUGAUCUACGGCAGUGGUAUUAUACGUACCAUUGACUUUCUCUUUUACAAUAAUAACUUAGAGAAUGUUAAUUAUUUUCAUUAUGGACAAAUAAUGAUUUUAUGUGCCGCAUGAUAAUCUGGUCUGUGACCAUUUUAUUAUUGAAUAUGUUUUGCUCUUGUCUUUCAUAUAAUCGACUUAAUGAUGGUCGCAGAUACAAGAGAUGAUAAAACCCGAUGACGUCGCAGAUCAUGGAUGACUUAUUUCAUGUUCAAAUUGUUGAAACUUUAUUGUUUCAGCCUUGCCGGGUUUUUGUACGUACUCAUGCACUUGAGCACGAGUUUUUCGUUUUUCCUCUUCAAUAAAUAAUUGAGAAGGUUCUUUCUGUUUCUUUUGUUUCAGAAAUGAACUUACAAAAUAGAGGUUCAUGUGGUCAUGUCAAGACAAGGUGGAAUUUCCACAACACUUGCCUUGCAUGUACCGGUUGCACUUGCUUCACAAAUGUGCGGUGUGCGUAUUGUGGGCUUAUGACACAGCUGGUCGCCGACGGACGUCGAUCAGCCACAACGCAACGAACCUACAACAGACGUUGAUUGUCCGGUGACUUCACUGGAUGAUGAGAGGACAUCUGAUGAUAUAGCCUUCGCUAUUCUUUCCCGGGCAGGAUGAGAUCUAUUAGUAAAUAUUGCUUAGAAAGUAGAUCUACAUCACACCUUAUGGCACCAAGAUGGGAAGAAGAGCCAUACGUCGGUAACUGCCCGUUGGCGGUGACCUUGGAGGGUCAUCGCCGGUGACAGUACUGUUCACUUAGUGACGGUCCGUUCACCGGAAAACAAUUUCCGGGUACUGUUCCCGUUAAUUGAGGCGAGACGGGCAAGACGUGGAACACGGAGCUACCUCUCCGUCGAUCGUCGUCAGACCAUUGGGGCGUUCGCCAUUUACCGGUCUGUGCCCGUAGACGUUGACCACGGAGCAACAAAGGUACGGCGGUCAAUGUCUCAUUCAGGUUUGUUGAGGUAUGUAUGAUUAUAACAUAUAUACCUAACGUUGACCACGGAGGUUCAAUAUUAGUGACGUCACAGUUUCAGAGAUGUUCCUGUAACACGUUGAAGAAACGGUUCCCAUUAACAUAGACGGACAAGACGUGGAACACAGAACUAUCGCAUCGUCGAUCGUCUUCAGAUCAUGGUGCUUUCGCCUUCACCGGUCUGUGCCUGUAGACGUUGACCACGGAGCAACAACGGUACGUGGGUCAAUGUCUCAUUCAGGUUUGUUAUGGUAUGUAUGAUUGUAGCAUAGUAUACCUAACGUUGCCAACGGAGGUUCACACUAGUGACGUCACCAUUUCAUAUUUGUUUCAUGAAUGGUCCGUUACAGAACACCAGUUACCGGGGACUGAUCCUGUCAUGGAGAAGAAUAUCCGUCACGGGUUCUCGGUACCUAAGAAGAACCUUCUUACGUCGGUUUUUGCCCGAGGA